rnacentral:rRNA from 1 species
CCUACGGGCGGCUGCAGUGGGGAAUAUUGGACAAUGGGCGAAAGCCUGAUCCAGCCAUGCCGCGUGUGUGAAGAAGGCCUUCGGGUUGUAAAGCACUUUCAGUGGGGAAGAAAGCCUUGGGGCUAAUACCCUCGAGGAAGGACAUCACCCACAGAAGAAGCACCGGCUAACUCCGUGCCAGCAGCCGCGGUAAUACGGAGGGUGCGAGCGUUAAUCGGAAUUACUGGGCGUAAAGCGCGCGUAGGCGGUCUGAUAAGCCGGUUGUGAAAGCCCCGGGCUCAACCUGGGAACGGCAUCCGGAACUGUCAGGCUAGAGUGCAGGAGAGGAAGGUAGAAUUCCCGGUGUAGCGGUGAAAUGCGUAGAGAUCGGGAGGAAUACCAGUGGCGAAGGCGGCCUUCUGGACUGACCCUGACGCUGAGGUGCGAAAGCGUGGGUAGCAAACAGGAUUAGAUACCCUUGUAGUC